rnacentral:rRNA from 1 species
CCUACGGGGGGCAGCAGUCGAGAAUCAUUCACAAAGGGGGAAACCCUGAUGGUGCGACGCCGCGUGGGGGAAUGAAGGUCUUCGGAUUGUAAACCCCUGUCAUGUGGGAGCAAAUUAAAAAGAUAGUACCACAAGAGGAAGAGACGGCUAACUCUGUGCCAGCAGCCGCGGGAAUACAGAGGUCUCAAGCGUAGUUCGGAAUCACUGGGCGUAAAGCGUGCGUAGGCUGUUUCGUAAGUCGUGUGUGAAUGGCGCGGGCUCAACCCGCGGACGGCACAUGAUACUGCGAGACUAGAGUAAUGGAGGGGGAACCGGAAUUCUCGGUGUAGCAGUGAAAUGCGUAGAUAUCGAGAGGAACACUCGUGGCGAAGGCGUGUUCCUGGACAGUAACUGACGCUGAGGCACGAAGGCCAGGGGAGCGAAAGGGAUUAGAUACCCCAGUAGUC